AGAUCGUCUAAUUUUCAUAAAUUUUCUUUUGUUCAGUUUGAUAGAUUUUCUUUAUCGUCCAUUAAGAAGAUAAACGUCUGUGUUACAAUUUAUCUAUAUCGAUGCAUCAUCGGAAACAUCGUAGGAUUGAUUUUCUUAUCGUUUCUUUUAGAAAAGAUUAAAACCAUUUAAUGUCAUGACGAUAAUUUAUUGUAAAUAUCAAAUAAUCGUAUCGAUUUCAAACAAUGACACGUUUAUUCUCGUUAGUACGAUAUAUUUACUUUUCUAAUGAAGAACACGAUGGUCAUUUACUUCAAAUGAAAAUUUUUUAUUUUCUUUCUUUCUUUUAUAAUCCUAGAUCAGUCAUCGUUAAGACGACGAUUAAUAAGAUUUGAUUUCGUCAAUGGAACGGAACGAAACUAUUUCUAUGAGUCACUUUUAAAAAAGAACGAUUGAUCGUUCGAUUCUAAUAAAGAACAAGAGAAAAAGAAGGAAAAGAAGAAAAAUUAAAAAAAAGAAAGAAAAAAAAAAAAGCAACAAAGAAACUCAUAUUCUGUAGUAUGACUAUCAUUCUUACGUAAACGUCUCACCAAUCGUAUCGAUAUAUAUUAUAUACGUUUGAUUAUAUCCGUGUGAUAUUCGUCACAUAGGUAUGUAUGAACAAACAUAUUUUAAAGAGAUAGAAACAUUCAUACAUAUAUACGUAUGAUAUCGACGGUCACGUGUAAAAACACGCUUCUAUCAAGUCCGAGGUAUGUUUGAAAAUGAUCGUAACUAUCUUGAAAGACGCGUGCCACGAAUCAAUACGUAUACGUGUAUAUAUCAGUCAAUUGAGAAUCAUCGAAGCGUCACGCUUCUUCGCGUACGUAACAUGUUUGUCUCUUUCUCUCUCUGUCUCCCUCUCUAUCUCUCUUUCGGAAAAGUGAAGGAGAGAGAGAGAGAGAGAGAGAGAGAGAGAGAGAGAGAGAGAGAGAGAGAAGAAUUGCAUAAUGUCGGCCUUUACGUUUGUAUUCUUUCCGUAAUGUCAAUAUAGUAACUGACAAAGUAACUUCAUUUAAACGAGCUAGCCUUCGUUCCUGUCUCUUCGUGUUCAUCAAUUACGAAUAAUCUUACGAUAUUUUCACAAGAUGAAAAUAUCGUAACAUUGAUUUCAUUAUAUGGCAAGAUUUUCUUUUUUUCUCUCUCUCUCUCUCUCUCUCUCUCUCUUUCUUUAUUUCCUCUAAAAUUAUAAAUAAUAGAAGGAAGAGGAAAAACUAUUGAUUCGUAUGUUUGAUAAUCCUUUAAUUAUUAAUACAGAUAAUUAAAUAAUUAAUACAGAUAAAUAAAUAAUUAAUACAGAUAAUAAUUAUUAAUACAAAAGUAAUUAAGAAAUUAUAAAAGGAAAAUCUUGAAUGGAAUUGUAACUCAUUUGUAAUGUUUGAUUCGAGAAUAAAAUUGUUCGUACAAAGAGAUGAUAAGUAAGCAGACCGAGUGGUGCUCAUACUUAUAUAUACAUACGUAUAUUAUUGAAUUAAGCUUUAGUCAAAUAUUAAUCGCAUAGUAACCACUAAGGGGAGAAAAGCACGCGACGUAAUGCGCGUGUACUACGUACACGAUCAACGGUGUACUGUUAUCAUUCAGGCCAUUACGAUAUGCAUUAGUAUAAAGAGUAAUAAAGAAUAAUUAUUUAUGAACGAUCGUAUAUUAAUCACAAUUGUAUACACAGCCGUAGAUAAGGGAAUUGUGCGAAG